rnacentral:tRNA from 1 species
UCCUGCAAACAUAGGUUAAAGCCCUGUUUCUAUCA